rnacentral:rRNA from 1 species
AUACGUAGGGAGCGAGCGUUGUCCGGAAUUACUAGGCGUAAAGGGCGUGUAGGCGGGAAUUUAAGUAAGGUGUGAAAACUCCGAGCUCAACUUGGAGACUGCACUUUAAACUGGAUUUCUUGAGGGCAGGAGAGGAAAGUGGAAUUCCUAGUGUAGCGGUGAAAUGCGUAGAUAUUAGGAGGAACACCAGUGGCGAAGGCGACUUUCUGGACUGUACCUGACGCUGAGGCGCGAAAGCGUGGGGAGC